rnacentral:rRNA from 1 species
GACGGAAGGUGCAAGCGUUGCUCGGAAUCACUGGGCGUAAAGGGUGCGUAGGCGGCCGUGCAAGUCUGGCGUGAAAGCCCCGGGCUCAGCCCGGGAAGUGCGCUCGAAACUGCACGGCUCGAGUGCCGGAGGGGAGAGUGGAAUUCCUGGUGUAGCGGUGAAAUGCGUAGAUAUCUGGAGGAACACCGGUGGCGAAGGCGGCAUCCUGGACCAAUACUGACGCUGAGGAGCGAAAGCCAGGGGAGCAAACGGG